rnacentral:rRNA from 1 species
ACGGAAGGCAGCAGUGGGGAAUAUUGGGCAAUGGGGGAAACCCUGACCCAGCAACGCCGCGUGAAGGAAGAAGGCCCUCGGGUUGUAAACUUCUUUUAGAUGGGACGAACAAAUGACGGUACCAUCAGAAAAAGCAACGGCUAACUACGUGCCAGCAGCCGCGGUAAUACGUAGGUUGCAAGCGUUGUCCGGAUUUACUGGGUGUAAAGGGCGUGUAGGCGGAGCCGCAAGUCAGAUGUGAAAUCCCGGGGCUUAACCCCGGAACUGCAUUUGAAACUGUGGCCCUUGAGUAUCGGAGAGGCAAGCGGAAUUCCUAGUGUAGCGGUGAAAUGCGUAGAUAUUAGGAGGAACACCAGUGGCGAAGGCGGCUUGCUGGACGACAACUGACGCUGAGGCGCGAAAGCGUGGGGAGCAAACAGGAUUAGAUACCCUGGUA